AAUCCUCUUUCUAUGAAUACUUUAAUGAGCAAUUUACUUUUGCCUUCAACAAUGAACUGCUUUUGUAUGUGGAUUUGGUAAACUUAGCUGGAAUACAUUGAAGUUACAGAUAAUUUGUGUCCAUAUCCAUUUGGUCAUCUAGUUUACCAAAUAUGGCUCAAGUACUCAUUUAUUACCUUUAUUUUAUUUACCAAACCAGCUCAAAGCUGAAGUGCAGAAAAAGCCAAGUUAUUGCAAAAUUUGCGGAAAUUCACUCUAUAAGGUAGGGCUUUAGUCUUUCCCUAGAAGCUCUGAUUGGCAGGUUAACGGUUAACCCCGAAAUAAGUUGAUCGAUCCCCCCCCCUCCCCCCCCCACGUAAUUGACCCCUAAGCUCGGGGGAAUCAGAAACUAUUGCAUCUUUUCUAAACCGUCACUCUCCCUUAAUUUCCGCAAUAACUUUUGCAUAUGAAACUUUUUUUCACGUGGUUUUGGUCUCUUUUCAAUUGUUUAACAAAGGGAACAAAAAGAAAAGCCUUAGGAUGAGUCAUCAAACGUCUUAGCCUAGAAAAAGCUAUCAGAAAGUAAGCCAAUGAGCUAAUGGUGACUAGCCUUUGAUUGAAGACCGGGUCGGUAUAAAGGAUAGGCUAGUCCAGCUUGAUUAAAGACUCUCCCUUGAUUUCCGCAAUAACUUUUGCAUAUGAAACCUUUUUUCACGUGGUUUUGGUCUCUUUUCGAUUGCUUUACAAAGGGAACAAAAAGAAAAGCCUUAGGAUGAGUCAUCGAAUGUCUUAGCCUAGAGAAAGCUAUCAGAGAGUAAGCCAAUGAGCUAAUGGUGACUAGCCUUUGAUUGAAGACUGGGUCAGUAUGAAGAUAGGCUAGUCCAGCUAGUUUCUAUAAAAAGCUAAAAGGAGCCAAGUUUUUGUAAAAUCUAGUCCCCAAGCUCUAUUCCCUUCUUUUUCUCUUCUCAUUUGCCGCUGCCGCAGACCAUUACUUCAACAUUGUUUGUUGCCUUCUCUACAGUGGUUGAAAAUCACCGCCACCGAUCGAUAACCUCCGUUCACGUUCAAGGGACACCACUUGAAUCGUCUUCUUCUCCUCUACCAAGAUCCAUAACUCAAAACCUUCAAUUCACUCUAUCACGAAUUUCAGAAUAUCUGAAAUCUCUAGUUACUCUCUUCUCAAAUUUGUGAAGCUACCCUCAUCUCCACCAUACAAAAACCUACAUAAAUAUAUAGAUCUUGGACGGAUCCAUCAUUCGGCAUCGGUUUCGGUACGAAACUCCGACAACCAAUUUUUGCAUCGAGUAGCUGGCAACCAUUGUCCUCGAUCAUAUCAUGUCAAGGUUCCAAGUUGGAGCAGCUGUGGUGAUCUUUAAGGAACUUGGCAACCAGAAGCAGAGUGAUCACAGCCAAUGGCAGCUUUUCCCUAUUCACAAGUUGAAAUAAUGCGUUUUGAGAGUGCUGCUGAUUUAGCUAUGUAAUGAUUUGCUCGGUAGUUUUCACACAAAUGACGUCACUCUUUGUUGAGCAAGGUGAUGCCAUGAAAACUACAAAAGUGAACUUCAGGAUCCCAGCAGCAUGUAUGUCUACCUUUGACAUCCUUAGUAUAGCACUUGCCAUGUUUCUCAAACACGGAGUUCUUGAUCCACUUAGGUUUAAGAGGAGCAAGUGUGACCACACCGAGCUAACUCAACUUCAAAGUUGGACUAGUCACAACGGUGAUGGCUAUGCUUUCUGUAGGAAUCGUGGAGCACUAUUGGCUUACUCAUGCUAUAAAUGACGGCAAAUACAGUGAAGGCUCUAGCUCGGUAAAGUUACCCUUGCUCUUGUUAAACCUAUUGACAAGUGGUCAAGAACUCUGUGUUUGGGAAGUAUGACAAGUGCUACACUAAGAAUGUCAACGGUAGAUAUACUUGCAACUGGAAUCCUGAAGUUCGCUAUUGUAGUUUUCAUGGCGUCUCCUUGCUCAACUAAGACUGUUUUCAUUUGUGUGAAUACUAGUGGGUAAAUCAUUAUAUAGCUAAAUCUCUAUUAGCUAUGUAAUAGUAGUCUUCUCCAACCAAAAAAAUUAUCUAUUAGCUAUGUAAUAAGAGCUUAACCUAUACACAUCUUCCAUUUGUUUAAAAACAUUAUCAGGUCUAUCAAAGGAUAUCUACGUUGUAAACCUUUUUUUAAAAGUGAAAUUUUGUACUGUUGAAAGUACAAGUAAAAAUCUCACUGA